UACGAAGGGGGCUAGCGUUGUUCGGAAUUACUGGGCGUAAAGCGCGCGCAGGCGGUUCUACAAGUCAGUGGUGAAAGCCCGGAGCUCAACUCCGGAACUGCCAUUGAAACUGCAGAACUUGAGGAUGAGAGAGGUGAGUGGAAUUCCCAGUGUAGAGGUGAAAUUCGUAGAUAUUGGGAAGAACACCGGUGGCGAAGGCGGCUCACUGGGCAGUAACUGACGCUGAGGAGCGAAAGCGUGGGGAGCGAACAGG
rnacentral:rRNA from 1 species